rnacentral:rRNA from 2 species
UACGUAGGGGGCGAGCGUUGUCCGGAAUUAUUGGGCGUAAAGGGUUCGCAGGCGGUCUGAUAAGUCAGAUGUGAAAGGCGUAGGCUCAACCUACGUAAGCAUUUGAAACUGUCAGACUUGAGUUAAGGAGAGGAAAGUGGAAUUCCUAGUGUAGCGGUGAAAUGCGUAGAUAUUAGGAGGAAUACCAGUGGCGAAGGCGACUUUCUGGACUUAUACUGACGCUGAGGAACGAAAGCGUGGGGAGCAAACAGG